rnacentral:rRNA from 1 species
CAGCAGCCGCGGGAAUACGGAGGGUGCAAGCGUUAAUCGGAAUUACUGGGCGUAAAGCGCACGCAGGCGGUUUGUUAAGUCAGAUGUGAAAUCCCCGAGCUUAACUUGGGAACUGCAUUUGAAACUGGCAAGCUAGAGUCUUGUAGAGGGGGGUAGAAUUCCAGGUGUAGCGGUGAAAUGCGUAGAGAUCUGGAGGAAUACCGGUGGCGAAGGCGGCCCCCCGGACAAAGACUGACGCUCAGGUGCGAAAGCGUGGGGAGCAAACAGGAUUAGAUACCCCUGUAGUCCCUGUCUCUUAUAA